rnacentral:lncRNA from 1 species
AAGCGGUCCUGCACACGUCAAGUUAACGCCUACAGCUGCUAAAUAUACACCUACACACGCUAACUUAACGCAUUCUUUAAUAUGCUAAUUUUACUAGCCAAUUUCCCUCCCUCCUCCUUUCAACCAGAUUUCACAGUUUGAAGGAACUUCCUUUUCCACUGCAAGCAGAGUUUGAACCUUUACAAGAAGGGAACCAUGAAGAGGAGCUUGGAGUGGGCAAGGGGGAUGCUGAUAAAGCAGCAGAGAAGACCUGAUUCAUCAAGUAUCAAUUAAUUCUGGUGAUUCUCACCUGGUUGGCAUGCAUGCACAACAUGACAAGAAUUGACGUGACACUACCAUGGUACACAUGAGUACAUGAAGGAGCUGUGGGACCCAACACUACCAUGGUACACAUGAGUACAUGAAGCAGCUCUGGGACCUGACACUACCAUGGUACACAUGAGUACAUGAAGGAGCUGUGGGACCCGACACUACCAUGGUACACAUGAGUACAUGAAGGAGCUGUGGGACCCGACACUACCAUGGUACACAUGAGUACAUGAAGGAGCUGUGGGACCUGACAUAAUGAUGAUAGGACAACAGUCUCAGCGUAAACAAAACAAAGUACAUGGUGAUACUUGACCAUUCUCCCAUCUACUGUACAUUGACAUGGAGAUGAUCAGCAGCUUCAAGUUCCUGGGCACCCUGAUAUCCUUUUCUGCCUUCAGUUACUUCACUCAAAGUCCCACUUGUGCUUCUCCACUACCCUCAAACUUGCUCCACCACGACCUAUGUACCAACUACAGUGUCUUUUAUUGCCAUUACACAUGUAAAUGAAAUGUACAUAUUUACGGUAGGAUUUAUUUAUGGUAACAUUGCACAUAUUGUAACAGUCCCUUGACAUACAUGACUUAACUAUGCAUAAUGCUCAGUUUACCCACUAAGAAAUCAUACAUUUAUUAAAUCUGCAUUAUUUAUUACUGUGUCCAAUUGAUUCUGGUUGGUUGUAAUGUUUUUGAAAACUUUCACUGCACAACUUUUUUUGCUGAUGGACAAUCCGGUCGGAAACUUUAAUAAUAUCAAUUCUUUUGGGACACAUCACCAAUUAACAUUGGCUGCAGUAUUCCGAACUUACUAGGUAGUCAUGCAAUAAACGUUUUGGAUAAUUCCCCUUAAAUGAAUUCUUUAAAUCAAAUUGAAUUUGUCACAUGCGCCAAAUACAACAGUGAAAUGCUUAUUUAAAAACCCUUAACCAAAAAUGCAGUUUAAAAAAAACGACAAAAAGAGUAAAUAAUUAAAGAGCAUCAGUAAAAUAACAAUAGCGAGGCUAUAUACUGUACAGGGGAUACCGGUACAGGGAAUGUUCGGGGGCACCGGUUAGUCAAGUUAAUAUAUAUAUAUGUAGGUAGAGAUAUUAAAGUGACUAUGCAUAGAUAGUAGCAGCAAAUAGUCUGGGUAGCCAUUUGAUUAGAUGUUCAGUAGUCUUAUGGCUUGGGGGUAGAAUCUGUUUAGAAGCCUCUUGGACAUAGACUUGGCGCUCCGGUACCACUUGCUGUGUGGUAGCAGAUAGAACUGUAGCUGUGGCUCCACUGGCAAUCCCAGCCUAGGAAUGCUGAAACCCCCGAAGUGAAAAUGAAAACCUUCUCCAUGGAGAAGGGUAUGUGUUCCCCCUGAAAAAAAGGGAAGGGGGGGUCAUUAAAGUCCAUAAGUAACACUUGUUGGAGAGCACAAUACUCUAAGUGAAGGUAGUUUGGGAUUUCAUUUAUCCAUUACAUUCUUAGGGGGACCAUGGAAGAAUAAGGCUAUAAAAUGCUGUCCCACAGUUGUGAGAGUGAUUAGGUGAUGUUUUACUGAUGUGGGCCGUGUUACUUCAAUGAUCAUGGUUUUGCAUCUAACCUUCCACCUCCAGAAGCCAGUCCCCCCAGAAACAUAUGACUCUUCUCUCUAUUGCUCUUUGAUUGGUACCAUGUGGAGAGCACUCUGCUUUGAAGAGAGAAGCUAUGUCUGGCCAAAAGAGGUUUCUCAGCGUAGAUGAAACACUCUCUGAAGAGGCUUCAGUGUCUAUUCAUGUAAGGCAGGAGACCUAGACACUCCAGACCUCUUUGAAUCUAUAAAGUAAAAAAAGUCAAUGAAUUAACCCUGAAGAAUUUAACUAAACUUGAGACUCACUACUCAAGAGCAUCCCAUAUCCUGCUUUCUAAGUAGAACUUUGUGGCUGACUCCACCAUGGCAUCCCUCUCCAAUGUACGAAUGUAUCGCACUGGACCCAACUCGACCGCUUCCUGUGCCUCGUCAACAGUUUGUGCUAACUGGAUCUUAAAUUGUUUGUUUAUUGAACAGUGUUUUGGGAAAAAUUAGCAAAAUAAACUGAUUAUCACUACCCUUAAAAAACAUUGACUGCCAACAAAAGGAAACCAAAUCCAUGUGGAAAAGUCUUCAUGAACAUCUACAACCCUAAUAUUUUUUUUCGAACUUAGUGCAAAUGAACAGUAACAUAGCAUCCAUCACAGUAUAAAGUACUUACCUUCUCCAACUUCUCUCUUAAGUUAUAUUCCACCAUUUCUUUCAUUUCUGGCACAGGAGGUUGUAGGCCAUAUACUUGCCUGUAUAGCCUCUGAAAAAAUGUGUCUUUACACCCCCAUGUACUAGACAGACAGCAAUCAUGUGGCCCACCUGCUUGUAUACGCCAUCAUAGAGUGCUGUCACACAGAAGACAAACAGUAAAUAAAGGACACAUUACAUACAAAAAUCAAAUGUCUUACUCAAGUCAUAUAUAUUGCCAUAAACAAACGUGUCUUUGUUGGUGUAAAAGUGUAACUCACCUUGAGAGUUGCAAGAAAGGCAUUUUUGCCAAUCAGGUCCCUCAAAUAUUGCAAAGGAAUGGAUGGCACUCAUUAGCAGCCAGAGAAAUUCUCUUGAGGGACCACCCUCAUCAGCUGCCCCUUUUCCGUCACCAUCCCUAAAAACCAUGUCUAUUUUUGCCUCCGGAUUAAAGCGGGCUCUCUUAAAGCCUCUCAUUGCACAAUCAUAAACGUUGUCCCUCAUCACGUUAAUUCGGUUGGCAUCUCAUUAACUUCAGCAGUGUUUGGAGGUCAACACUAAAAGAGACAUUCAGAAUAACAAAGCUCAGAUACUUCCCACAAUUCAUCUGUAAUAACAAGACAUUUAAUUGUUUACAG